CACGUAGUUAGCCGGGGCUUCUUACUCAGGUACCGCCAUUUUCUUCCCUGCUGAUAGAGCUUUACAUCACGAAUGACUUCUUCACUCACGCGGCGUUGCUGCAUCAGGGUUUCCCCCAUUGUGCAAUAUUCCCCACUGCUGCCUCCCGUAGGAGUUUGGGCCGUGUCUCAGUCCCAAUGUGGCCGUUCACCCUCUCAGGCCGGCUACUGAUCGUCGCCUUGGUGGGCUUCUACCCCGCCAACCAGCUAAUCAGACGCGGAUCCAUCUUACACCACCGGAGUUUUUCACACUAAGCCAUGCGGCUCCGUGCGCUUAUGCGGUAUUAGCACCUAUUUCUAAGUGUUAUCCCCCAGUGUAAGGCAGGUUAUCCACGCGUUACUCACCCGUCCGCCACUAAGUUACGAAUCACUAGGUUUCAUCGUAACUCCGUUCGACUUGCAUGUGUUAGGCACGCCGCCAGCGUUCAUCCUGAGCCAGGAUCAAACUCU
rnacentral:rRNA from 1 species